rnacentral:tRNA from 1 species
GGGAAGGUACCAAAGUGGUCAAAUGGAGCGGUCUGUAAAACCGUUGGCUUUAGCCUUCGUGGGUUCGAACCCCACCCUUCCCACCA